UGUAUCCCAGACUGGUCUCCAACUUGCUCUGUAGCUAGCCAAAGAUGACCUUGGACUCCCGAUCUCUCAGCCUCUGCCUUCUGAGUGUUGGAUCCUAGGUGUGCGCUGCCAUCCAUGCCAGUCGAUGCAGGACCGGGAACUGAAGCCAGGCCUUGUGCUCGUGAGGUCUUUGCUCUUCCAACUGAGCCACAUCUCCAGCCCUCGGCUCAGCUCUAAUUUUAAAUUUUGCGUUCCUCCACUUAAAACUGUGUAAUCCUGGCCUCCCUUUAUUUUCCUCUUGGAUAAAAUUAGGAUAAUAAAAGAUCUGGGGCUGGAGAGAUGGCUCAGCAGUUAAGAGCACUAGCUGGUCUUCCAAAGGUUCUGAGUUCUCAAUUUCCAGCAACCACAUGAUCGCUCACAAUCGUUUGUAAUAGGAUCUGGUGCCCUCUUCUGGUCUGCAGAUGUACAUACACAGUACUCCUAUAUAAGAGAAAUAAAUCAAGUUUUAAAACAAAUACUCUAAGUUAAACAAAAUACUAUAUUGUAAUGGCAAGGAUAACUGCUGUGGGAUUAGUUAGGGCUCAGUUUCAAAAGAGAGAAGUUGGCCAGUGAUUGAGGUGAGGAUGUAACAGUCCCUGUGGGGAGUUACUGCCUUUCCCCUGUGCAUUAUUUUUAUUGCUUUCUGUCUAAAUCCCAGGAAUUACACCAGAAAUCUAGCAUGGAAUUGAAUAAUAGCGUGCAAGAUGAUGUUCUGGAACGCCUGGCUGAUGCAGAGAAGUUAGUGGUGGAGCUGAAAGACAUCAUUAGACAGAAGGAUGUUCAGCUCUAGCAGAAGGAUGAAGCUCUGCAGGAGGAGCGUAAAGCUGCUGAUAACAAAAUUAAAAAAAUAAAACUUCAUGCAAAAGCGAAACUGACUUCUUUGAACAACACCUCGAAGAAAUGAAGGCACAAGGAGGGGCUGCUUCGCCUACAUCUACGGAACCUCAGUCAGCAGAACCGCUCCCCAAGCAUGAUAAGAAUUCUACAGAAGAGAUGAAAGUAGAAGAGAUAAAACGUGAACUCCAGGAGAAGGAGAAAUUAAUUAGCAAUUUGCAAGCCCAGCUUCACCAGGCACAGUCAGAACAAGCCUUGAAGGUAGGAGCGAGUCACCUCGCUAUUAUUAGCUUAAGAAAUCACAACCAGGCAAUGGAUAUCCACGGCACAUGCCUCUUUCUAGACAAUCAGUAACUAUCUCCUGUCAGUCGGCCCCUCCCAGUCUGCC